rnacentral:rRNA from 1 species
CAGUAGCCACGGUAAUACGUAGGUGGCAAGCGUUGUCCGGAAUUAUUGGGCGUAAAGGGCUCGCAGGCGGUUUCUUAAGUCUGAUGUGAAAGCCCCCGGCUCAACCGGGGAGGGUCAUUGGAAACUGGGAAACUUGAGUGCAGAAGAGGAGAGUGGAAUUCCGAGUGUAGAGGUGAAAUGCGUAGAGAUGUGGAGGAACACCAGUGGCGAAGGCGACUCUCUGGUCUGUAACUGACGCUGAGGAGCGAAAGCGUGGGGAGCGAACAGGAUUAGAUACCCCUGUAGUCCCUGUCUCUUAUAC